CCUACGGGUGGCUGCAGUAGGGAAUAUUGCUCAAUGGGGGAAACCCUGAAGCAGCAACGCCGCGUGGAGGAUGAAGGUUUUCGGAUUGUAAACUCCUUUUGGUAGAGAGGAUAAUGACGGUAUCUAACGAAUAAGCACCGGCUAACGCCGUUCCAGCAGCCGCGGGAAUACGGAGGGUGCAAGCGUUACUCGGAAUCACUGGGCGGAAAGAGCGCGUAGGCGGGAUAGCAAGUCAGAUGUGAAAUGCUAAGGCUGAACCAUAGAAUGGAAUUUGAAACUGUUAUUCGAGAGUAUGGGAGAGGUAGGUGGAAUGCUUGGUGGAGGGGUAAAAUCCGUAGAGAUCAAGAGGAAUACUCAUUGCGAAGG
rnacentral:rRNA from 1 species